rnacentral:rRNA from 1 species
AACGAACGCUGGCGGCAUGCCUAACACAUGCAAGUCGAACGAGACCUUCGGGUCUAGUGGCGCACGGGUGCGUAACGCGUGGGAACCUGCCCUUAGGUUCGGAAUAACUCCCCGAAAGGGGUGCUAAUACCGGAUAAUGUCUUCGGACCAAAGAUUUAUCGCCUUUGGAUGGGCCCGCGUUGGAUUAGCUAGUUGGUAGGGUAAAAGCCUACCAAGGCGACGAUCCAUAGCUGGUCUGAGAGGAGGGUCAGCCACACUGGGACUGAGACACGGCCCAGACUCCUACGGGAGGCAGCAGUGGGGAAUAUUGGACAAUGGGCGAAAGCCUGAUCCAGCAAUGCCGCGUGAGUGAUGAAGGCCUUAGGGUUGUAAAGCUCUUUUACCCGGGAUGAUAAUGACAGUACCGGGAGAAUAAGCUCCGGCUAACUCCGUG